UGUUACGUUUGAAGUCUUCCUGUCCGUCAUCUCGCAAUCGUUAUUUUUGAAGACCUUAAGUGAAUGAAUAAUUUGAUUUUCUGUCUCAGGACCUGCGCAUAUAUAAAAUACUUGCCACUGAACAUUGAACCAAGUAAAAUCAAUACACAUCGUUUCAUAUAUAAAAAUCAAUCUACAGAUGAUAAAGCAUUUCUUUGUUGGUUAGACUCCCUUUUUGGGAGUUGAACACUGUGCGGGACAAAUUUCUUCUCAUGGGUAGAUAUAUUUUUCCCAUGGGAAAAUUAGUUUUUUCUUUUAUUUGUUUCAGAAUUUGUAAAAGUGCUAUGAAAUAUCGAAAUGGACUGACAAUCACUAGUAACCAAUGACUGGAACAAUUUAACAGGCAUUAUAAUAAAUUAAAAGUAUUUCUAUCAUACUUUUACACUCAAUAGUCUUCUUUUUCUUU
rnacentral:lncRNA from 1 species